rnacentral:rRNA from 1 species
UACGUAGGGUGCUAGCGUUGUCCGGAUUUAUUGGGCGUAAAGGGCUCGUAGGCGGUUUGUCGCGUCUGCCGUGAAAGUCCGGGGCUCAACUCCGGAUCUGCGGUGGGUACGGGCAGACUAGAGUGAUGUAGGGGAGACUGGAAUUCCUGGUGUAGCGGUGAAAUGCGCAGAUAUCAGGAGGAACACCGAUGGCGAAGGCAGGUCUCUGGGCAUUAACUGACGCUGAGGAGCGAAAGCAUGGGGAGCGAACAGG